AUAUUAAAUUUUGUCUUACUUUAAUCAUUCUAAUAAGUACAAGGAUUAAAUUGGCUGUGUCGUUUUUGGAUAUCAUAAAUUUGAAAUAAUGAUGAGAAUUAUAAACGAUGUGAUGUGGGUGUACACGAAGUGUUUAGCAUUUUCAUUGAAUAUGCAAAAUGCUAAUCUUUAUAUUUAUAUAAAGGAGGGUCUUCAUAGGCUGACGUGGCGGCUUCCAGAGCUCUGCUUCUAUUUUUCCUCGAUUUCUAGAAUUUCACUAUCUUUUUUAUCAGUGCUCUGAAAUUAUGAAUCUUUAUAUUUAUAUAAAGGAGGGUCUUCAUAGGCUGACGUGGCGGCUUCCAGAGCUCUGCUUCUAUCUUUAUAUUUAUAUAAAGGAGGGUCUUCAUAGGCUGACGUGGCGGCUUCCAGAGCUCUGCUUCUAUUUUUCCUCGAUUUCUAGAAUUUCACUAUCUUUUUUAUCAGUGCUCUGAAAUUAUGAAUCUUUAUAUUUAUAUAAAGGAGGGUCUUCAUAGGCUGACGUGGCGGCUUCCAGAGCUCUGCUUCUAUUUUUCCUCGAUUUCUAGAAUUUCACUAUCUUUUUUAUCAGUGCUCUGAAAUUAUGAAAUUAAAUUCUCCGUUGAAAUUGAAAGGUCCACAACUUAAUUACUAAGCUUUAUUACUUCGGUUGGGAAUUCAUAAAAUCGGAAGUCUAAAGUUUUAAGCUCCAGUUCACUCCAAAACUAACAAUGGCAGUGGCACCCGGACCUUCUUGGGAUUUGAAGAAUUCUGACCCUAAAGCUGCGAUUUCGCUAUUUUCUACUCUUACAAAAAUUACACUAAUCAAGAAAAUCCCAACGGUGCUCUUACCGAUUUUAUUUUUGGAAGUUCUGAUCGCGCAAGCAAGUCAUGGGGCACCAAUGGCUACGGCUAAUCGGUGUCGACUAGCGGCAGUGUUGGCUCUCCUACAACCGGGAGUGAGGCGAUUGGCAACACUCCCCCAGUGAUAAGACUUCUAUUAGGCUUAAUCAUAUAGAUGCUCAUGCUGAUAAUGUUGCAUCUCAAGCUACUGACAUGUGAGUGCUUAAUUUGUUGUAUUUUUGAGUGUUUUGCUUUUGCAAUUGAGACCGGAUUAUACGGUGAUUUGAUUUUUUUUAUUAGGAUUUGGAGCAAUUUUGUCAUCAUUGGAUGGUAAUUGUUGAAUUUGGAAAAGUGGGUGAUUUUUCUUUUGGGUUUUUGGACUAAUUGCUAGCGUCUGAUCAUAAAUUUUGCUAAUUGUAUGCAUAAAGCUUUUUGCUAUAUUCUGAGCUGUGUUGUGAGGAGACAGUGCAGGGGACUCCGCCAAUCGAGCAUGAAAGUUUAUGAGAAAGUGCAAAGCAAGGGAAGAACUACUUAUAACGAGGUGUGCAUACAUAUAGUUCUCGGAUCUAGAAGGAAAGGUAGAUGGCCAUGCUAAUAGUGACUGAGGAAUUCAAAAGGGUCCUACUCCUAUGAGUCACUUGCCUGCUCAAAAUCAGAGAGCCCAGAAUGGUUUCCUAUUGGUUCCACCUGUAGACAAUUCACAACAGCAUUCUGCAUCAGGCCCUGUUGAAAGAAACAAGAUGUAAAGAACUUCUUCGAUGCAGUGAGUGGCUUGCUUGGAGCAUCUUCAGAAGCGGAUCCGUGGAGGUGUAAGCUCAUCUGAGGCCCUGGCCAGUGGUAAAUAGUAUACGGUAGCCAAGAGACCUUGAAAUGUGAGGAUUAGCCAGAGGUGCUGGUGUGCUUCUAUUUCAGCAACCUUUGCUGGUUCAUAGUAAUGGAAAUCCUCAUCUCAUCAUAAGUUAAUGCUCGGUGGUCCUGUGGAUACAAACCCAUUUCCCCAAUUUAGACUAUGUGGAGUUGCUGAUAAGAACACCAUCUUCCUCAGAUUAAUGAUUUCAGCUCUUUCUUUGGUAUUUCACUCUCUGUGUGUUACAACAAGCUUUUAC